rnacentral:lncRNA from 7 species
AUCAGUUUCUGUCACAAGGUCUUUUAGACCUUAUUUGUACUGCUGUUGUCACAACAUUUGUAGGCUACAGAGAGGCUCCAAAAUACUUAGCUAACCAAACAAAGAAACUAUAUAUUUGAGGCAUAAGCUUGUAUGCUUAUGGAAAGUCUGAAGGUAAGGUAGGUGAAGGAAUCAGCUGUGUAUCUCAGAGAACCCUGCCUGCACAUCUAAUAGCACCUGAGAUCCAUUGGAGCUUCAGAGCCGUGACUGGUCAAGCUCCUCUCCUGGCAUGUGCAAAGGACAGACGGAUCCUGCUCAGUUCAGACUCAAGUCGUCAUCCAGCAGCUGACUGGGAUGUGUUUUUUGUCAUCCAUUCCACCCAGCUCCUCCCAAGAUCAAGCCCUGAGCAAAUGAUAAAGCCCAUCAGUCUCUGCGGUGGAUGUACGAAGGUUUAUGCUGCACGAUUCACAUGGAAGAGGAGAGAAGGUAGGAGUGAGAUGGCUACUUCCCACUUUGUACAAGACUUUGAAAAUGUAGCGGACUUAAUUAAAAUCAAACCUGUGGAUCUAUAGGGGAAAAGUCCACCUUUCCUCCUUUAACAAAAGAUAGCGCUCAGCCUGCAAAAUCUUCUCACUUGCACUUCAGGUUUAAGUCCCUUUGUAUGUCACAGAGGAAAUUCUUUUCCUUGAUAAUCUCCUUGCUGGCCCAUAGGUAAUUGAACAGCAGAUCCACACAGUAAACCCUUCAAAGGAAUUACAAGGAUUACACAUCUCAUAUUCACCUUGUUUCACCCUCUGCAGAUGUUGAAUGUGAGCCAUCAGUUUCUUCCUAAUCCAUGUAACUCAGAUACGUGGAGCUUUCUGUCAGAUACCUCACCCGUUUUCCUUCUUUGCCUAGCAACUGUUUCAGAACUGAACUCAACAUUUUAUACAAAAGUUAGCUCAAGAAGCAGACAGGGCUAUUCAAGAGAGAAAUGUGAGAAAUGGCUGUUCAAGAAGAAAGGAGGAAAGUAUAAAAUAGGUGUAGAGGAGAUUCUUAAGGGACCGGAGAGGGCUAUGGCUUGAUCCAUAGGCUGGUAUGUGCCAUCCCAUCUGUGGGCUAAAAGUCAGAUAAACACGAACCACUCUGCUGGCUGACAACACACCUUGAGCAAAGGACAGAAUGUGGUGACAUUCUGCAAGCAUUUAUUGGCUGUAGAUGCAAGGGAGAGCAGUGAAUUUAAUUAGUGUAGGCAUUUUACAGAGGUGAACUAAAAAGUACAUUG